UAACAAGGUUUCCGUAGGUGAACCUGCGGAAGGAUCAUUAAUAAAUGGCGAAAGCUUUCUAUUAUCCAUAACACCUGUGAACUAUUUGCCUUCGGGCACCAAUCCAAACAUAAUGUAAUGAAUGUAAUCUACUAUAAUAAAUAUAACUUUCAACAACGGAUCUCUUGGCUCUCACAUCGAUGAAGAACGCAGCGA
rnacentral:misc_RNA from 1 species